rnacentral:lncRNA from 1 species
GCUGCAUCCGUUGGCCAGAAUUUGAGAUCGCUCCCGUUGAGGCCUCUGGAGAGCCAUUCCAAUGGUGAACAUAGAGCACAACCUCCCCCCCCCCCCAAAUAAAAUCACACCAGCACCUGGAAGGCACCAGGCAGGAGGGUGUGGAAAACUCCCCGGGGGAAGAUACAAAGGCUCCGGGUUCUGUAACCCACACCCCUUGAAAGGAGAGAGGAGGGUCAGCUCCUCCCCCACCCCAAAUUCCCAGUUUGAAUUUUUUACAUCAGUCUUAUAAGCAAACAUCUGCCGCUCUCCAUCUUCUGAAUGAAAGGUGAAGAUCAGAAUGAGAAAUCUUUGUGUUUUCAUUAGGUAUUUUAGCAAAUGCAAUGAGGGCAUUCAGAUUCGAUUUCCCUGUUUUGUACACACACAUAAGUAGUGCUAAGAGGAUUACUUUUCCUGGGGCCGCAUCCUUCCUAAAGGCCCCAGUCAAAAGGGACUCUUGUUAAACAGCGUUUUUUCUAAUUCCCCCCGGGCCUUCUCCCUUGCCUCACCGGCAGACACCUCGCCCCAUGCCCAAAUCCAGCCCCCUCGCCACAGCCACAGCCCGCGCAAUAAAGAGGGUCCGGGAACUCCGUUCUCCUCCUGCCCCUGGUUCCUUAACAAAGCUGGAGAUGAACAUUAGGGCCCGCUUCAGCAGCAGCGCAGUGGGAAAGGCGGCCUCAUGGAACCCUCGACGCCCCCAUAGAAAAAUGUAGCCUUUUUGCCUCUGUGCCCGUGAAUGAAUGGCUUUUCCAGGGUUUUCAUUAGGCCCUGGGUCUGCUGGUGCAGAAAGCCUCACAGAUGUUGACAUUUUUUUCAUCCCUGGGUUAAGAUGUCUUCCAUAAGCUUUUAUUCCUCAUUUGUUACUUCUUUAUUAUCCGGGAGGUUUGGCCGCCUCCCUCUUCUCCUCUCUCUGAAGAGAGCAGCGGUAGCUGAGCCUGUCAUUAUCUGGGCCCUUUUCUCUUGCCUCCAGAGGCAACCGGGGCCUCGGGCCCCAUUGUGGGGAACAGCAGGUAGCUGAGGCAGGCCGGGUCACUCCUCAGACCCUUUUGUGCUGCAGCUCCCUCCUCCACACAGCUUGGCUCUGGGGAUGUGAAAGGUCAGGGGCACGCCAUGCUUCCAUACCUGAGCUUUUGUUUGGGGCUGGAGGCAAAUGAUUCUAGAAGCAAUUCCUUGGAAAGCGGCCUAGAGCCUCCCUUCUCUCUUGUGACUUUGCACAACUGUACCACAGCCCUUGGGGCUGGGAGUGCGGGGACAGGGGACUCGUUUAGAUCCUCUGAAUCCAAAAAUGCCCUUAAGAAAAUAAUUUCUAGGCGGAAGAUGGCCCAGAGAUGCAUCUGAAUGGAAGCCUGAAGCCUCUGAGACAUUGAGAAAAGGGUUUUGUGAUAAACAGAGAGAG